UACGGGGGGGGCAAGCGUUGUUCGGAAUUACUGGGCGUAAAGGGCUCGUAGGCGGCCAACUAAGUCGGACGUGAAAUCCCUCGGCUUAACCGGGGAACUGCGUCUGAUACUGGAUGGCUUGAAUCCGGGAGAGGGAUGCGGAAUUCCAGGUGUAGCGGUGAAAUGCGUAGAUAUCUGGAGGAACACCGGUGGCGAAGGCGGCAUUCUGGACCGACAUUGACGCUGAGGAGCGAAAGCCAGGGGAGCAAACGGG
rnacentral:rRNA from 1 species